UUUUUAUCAUGGUGUCCUAAUUCCUGUUAUAGAAGAAAAAUGGAAAUUUCCCAGAAGGCUGCAGAGGAAGAAGAGAGAUAUCGCAGAGAAAUUGAGCAGAUAACAGCAGAGGAAGAGAAAUUUAAAAAGGAGUGGGAAGAAGACUGGGGUCCUAAAGAGCCUCCCAAACCUCUGAAAACUGUAACUGCAGAAGUGCACUCUGCUCCUCGCU